GUGUCCUGCCUCUCUGCUCCAGCUGUUAAGAGGUCAGAGUUGAUCAGUGGCUGUCCAGGCCUUUCAGAGCCACUGACACACCAGCAGCACAAUGAUGAUGUCACUGACUCUACUGCUGACCAUCCUGGGGCUCCUGGUUCAGGGUUCCGUGGCUGAAAUCAUCCUGACUCAGACUCCAGGAUCUCAGUCUGUUACUCUGGGACAGACUGUCUCCAUCAGAUGUAAAGCCAGUUCCAGUAUUUCAAAUGAUUUACAGUGGUACAUUCAAAAACCCGGAGAAGCACCUAAGAUCCUAAUUUAUGAUGCCAAUUCACGCUGGUCUGGAGUUCCUGAUCGUUUCAGUGGGAGUCAGUCUGGAACUGAUUUCACUCUGACCAUCAGCAGAGUUCAGGCUGAAGAUGCAGGAGUUUAUUACUGUCAGCAGGAUUGGAGCUUUCCGUUCACACAGUGA